rnacentral:sRNA from 1 species
AAAAGAAAAGAUUGUUUUGUAUGGUUUCUAAAUUAACUAAGGGGGUGUUUUUCGUUAAUGGAUUUUAUAGAAUUGAAAUCCAACACUAAUCCACUAUUAUUUAACUAAUGAUUCUAAAUCCAGCUUUAAAAUCUAGUGUUAUUGGAACUCAUAUUUGUAAAUCAUGCUUAAUAGAUUCUAAAGUUUGGUGUUAUUCAAUUAAGAUUUUAAAUAUUUCAUUAAAAUCCAAUGUUAUUCAAAACUAAAAGACUUGUAAAAUCUUUGUAUAUUAAUUGAUUUGAAAUGAAAGUUCUUUAGAGUUUCAUGAGUAAAUCAUUAGAAUCAAAAUCCAAGACAUAUUGCAGAGAUUUUGAAAUUCAUACAAACAUAUUCUUAAAAGCAAUAUCGGAAAACAAAUCUAAAGCUUAAAGAAUUGACUUUAACUCCAUAAUUGAAUAACACCACCUAAGACAUUAGUAAAUUGUAAGUGAAUAAAAGAAAGCAACAAAAAUAGUUAACAAUUGGUAGAUAAGAAUUACAUGCAGUGUAAGAAAAUUUCACAAGGACUCAAAUCACAAUUAUCAAAUUUUGUAA